GACGCACAAACCACGGCUGCCCUCUGGUGCGUCGGGUUCCUUGUGGGGGGAUCACCAGGCAGGAGAGAGCACCACCGUCCUGGCAGAUCUGGAAACUGGACGGCCCCAAACUGAGUCCAAGUCCUGCAUCUGCCAGUCGUGUGAACUUGGGCAUGAGAACGCCCUUCUCUCUGCAAGAAGAUGCCCGCCCUUACCAAGGUGACUUCCAAGGACUUCAGGAACCUGAAACCUCGUCCUUGAUCGACUCGUGGUGUUGAAGGCCCUGCCAAAGCCAGCCUGGCACUGCUCUCUGGGAUGGAGACGGGAGAUGGCAUUCCGGGUCUAAAUUCUCGUGGGUGGUUCUCAGCUGUCAGGAGGUGCCAGGCUUACCUGCCAGGACCGUGGUUUUCUGUCAUUGUAACUGUGGGAAUGGCUAAGUCCUGUCUAUGACAGUCACACGAAAUAAAGUGUUCUGUGCUCCAGGAAAGGCUGUGCUCUGUGAGGCAUUUUUCUUAUCACUGUUCUCCAAAAGGACAGUAGGAUUUUAAGCCAGGAGCUGAAACAGGCGGCGAGGGCCAGGCACUGAGGUGGCCCCGCCUGUUGGAGAGGCAGGUGAUGCCUAG
rnacentral:lncRNA from 1 species